UACGAAGGGGGCUAGCGUUGUUCGGAAUCACUGGGCGUAAAGGGCGCGUAGGCGGCUGUUCAAGUCGGGGGUGAAAUCCCGUGGCUCAACCACGGAAUGGCCUUCGAUACUGGACGGCUCGAGACCGGAAGAGGUGAGUGGAACUGCGAGUGUAGAGGUGAAAUUCGUAGAUAUUCGCAAGAACACCAGUGGCGAAGGCGGCUCACUGGUCCGGUUCUGACGCUGAGGCGCGAAAGCGUGGGGAGCAAACGGG
rnacentral:rRNA from 1 species